CUUUCUUAUAAAGAAGUUUGCUGUCAUCAAUACGAUUUUUUACUUCUCUGAUGGAGCUCCACAACAAUUCAAAAACAAGAAAGCAUUUACAAACUUAUGUUAUCAUUAUGCUGACUUCGAAAUCAACGCUGAGUGGCAUUUUUUUGCAACUGCCCAUGGCAAAGGACCAUGCGAUGGUCUUGCGGGUUCAUUAAAACGAUAUGCUGCUAGAGCUUCAUUACAAAUGAACAAUAAAGAGCAUAUACUGAAACCACAAGAUUUGUUUUCCUGGGGAACGAAAAAUUUUACAAGCGUUGACUUUACUUUUAUAGCUAAUGACGAUUAUUUAAUAAAAAAAAAAUGUGUUAGACAUACGAUAUUCUCAAUCGAAAACGGUGAAAGGUACACAGUCAUUACACACUUUUGUGCCUUUAAAAGAUGAAAUUGGUUAUGCUUUCAUUAAAACUGUGUCCACAUCUCAAAAAAGUUCAAAAAUAAAAUACUCAAAAAUUU